GAUUAACGCUGGCGGCGUGCCUAACACAUGCAAGUCGAACGAGGUAGCAAUACCUAGUGGCAGACGGGUGAGUAACGCGUGGUCAACCUACCGUUGAGUGGGGGAUAACUAGCCGAAAGGUUAGCUAAUACCGCAUACGUCUCCGAGGGGCAUCCCUUGGCGAUAAAAGGAAGCAAUCCGCUCGAUGACGGGACCGCGUCCCAUUAGCUAGAUGGUGGGGUAACGGCCUACCAUGGCACCGAUGGGUAGCUGGUUUGAGAGAGCGACCAGCCACACUGGGACUGAGAAACGGCCCAGACUCCUACGGGAGGCAGCAGUGAGGAAUUUUCCGCAAUGGGCGCAAGCCUGACGGAGCGACGCCGCGUGUGGGAAGAAGGCCUUCGGUCGUAAACCA
rnacentral:rRNA from 1 species